CAGCAGCCGCGGUAAGACGAACCGUGCGAACGUUAUUCGGAAUUACUGGGCGUAAAGCGUGCGUAGGCGGUUUGUUAAGUCUGCUGUGAAAUCCCCGGGCUCAACCUGGGAAUGGCAGUGGAUACUGGCAAGCUAGAGUGUGUCAGAGGAUGGUGGAAUUCCCGGUGCAGCGGUGAAAUGCGUAGAGAUCGGGAGGAACAUCAGUGGCGAAGGCGGCCAUCUGGGACAACACUGACGCUGAGGCACGAAAGCGUGGGGAGCAAACAGGAUUAGAUACCCCUGUAGUCCCUGUCUCUUAUAC
rnacentral:rRNA from 1 species